rnacentral:rRNA from 1 species
GAUCCUAGCUCAGGACGAACGCUGGCGGCGCGCCUAACACAUGCAAGUCGAACGAGAGAGAGGGAGCUUGCUUCCUUGAUCGAGUGGCGAACGGGUGAGUAACGCGUGAGGAACCUGCCUCAAAGAGGGGGACAACAGUUGGAAACGACUGCUAAUACCGCAUAAGCCCACGACCCGGCAUCGGGAAGAGGGAAAAGGAGCAAUCCGCUUUGAGAUGGCCUCGCGUCCGAUUAGCUGGUUGGUGAGG